AUUGAACGCUGGCGGCAGGCCUAACACAUGCAAGUCGAGCGGAGCGGCGGACGGGUGAGUACGGCCUAGGAAGCUGCAUGGGGGUGAGGGAUACAGUAGGGGGACGGGAGCUAAUACAGCAUACUAUAAAGUGAGCCUAGGUCGGAUUAGCUAGUUGGUGGGGUAAAGGCCUACCAAGGCGGCGAUCCGUAACUGGUCUGAGAGGAUGAUCAGUCACACUGGAACUGAGACACGGCCCAGACUCCUACGGGAGGCAGCAGUGGGGAAUAUUGGGCAAUGGGCGAAAGUCUGAUCCAGCCAUGCCGCGUGUGUGAAGAAGGUUUUCGGAUCGUAAAGCACUGUAAUUUGGGAUGCGGUACCUACAGAAUAAGCACCGGCUAACUUCGUGCCAGCAGCCGCGGUAAUAC
rnacentral:rRNA from 1 species